CUACGUGCCAGCAGCCGCGGUAAUACGGAAGGUCCAGGCGUUAUCCGGAUUUAUUGGGUUUAAAGGGAGCGUAGGCUGGAGAUUAAGUGUGUUGUGAAAUGUAGACGCUCAACGUCUGAAUUGCAGCGCAUACUGGUUUCCUUGAGUACGCACAACGUUGGCGGAAUUCGUCGUGUAGCGGUGAAAUGCUUAGAUAUGACGAAGAACUCCGAUUGCGAAGGCAGCUGACGGGAGCGCAACUGACGCUUAAGCUCGAAGGUGCGGGUAUCGAACAGGAUUAGAUACCCUGGUAGUCCGCACAGUAAACGAUGGAUGCCCGCUGUUGGUACCUGGUAUCAGCGGCUAAGCGAAAGCAUUAAGCAUCCCACCUGGGGAGUACGCCGGCAACGGUGAAACUCAAAGGAAUUGACGGGGGCCCGCACAAGCGGAGGAACAUGUGGUUUAAUUCGACGCAACGCGAAGAACCUUACCAGGUCUUGACAU
rnacentral:rRNA from 1 species